UACAGAGGGUGCAAGCGUUUAAUCGGAAUUACUGGGCGUAAAGCGUGCGUAGACGGUCAUGUAAGUCGGAUGUGAAAGCCCCGGGCUCAACCUGGGAAUGGCAUCCGAUACUGAUGGGCUAGAGUGCGGUAGAGGAGAGCGGAAUUCCCGGUGUAGCGGUGAAAUGCGUAGAGAUCGGGAGGAACAUCCGUGGCGAAGGCGGCUCUCUGGACCAGCACUGACGUUGAGGCACGGAAAGCGUGGGGAGCAAACAGGG
rnacentral:rRNA from 1 species